CAUACAGUGAGGAAGAUGGAAGCUCUCUGGGGUUGCUUGCUGGCUUCUCUCUGGGUUUGUGGAUUUGCCGAAAAUCGACUGCUUCAAGACCCAUCAAUGUCUCAGCAGCUAGGCCGUACAGCACGAAUACCUUGUACAGUUGAAGGAUAUUCCAUCAGUAACCUCCACUGGUAUCAACAGAAAGAGGGAGAAGCUCUGCAGCGGGUGUUGUAUUAUUAUCAGUCCAAGGUUUUUCCUGAGUCGGGAUUCCCAAAAGAAAAAUUUUUUCACUCUCUUAGCGGAACGAAGUCUUCCUUAACAAUCUACAAGCUAGAGGUCAAGGAUGCUGCGACCUACUAUUGUGCUCUCUGGGACUCCACAGUGACAAACAGUGUUAGGCAGCCUGACACAAAACCCUCUGUCAGCUCAAACCACAUCCUUUCAAACAAAGAAGCAGAAAUGAAACACUUUCUCCUCUUUCCUUUAACUGUGAACAUUUUAUUGUCUUCAGAAAACAGCAGUAUUCAAUAG